UACGGAGGAUCCAAGCGUUAUCCGGAUUUAUUGGGUUUAAAGGGUGCGUAGGCGGCUUUUUAAGUCAGGGGUGAAAGACGGUGGCUCAACCAUCGCAGUGCCUUUGAUACUGAUGAGCUUGAAUGAACCUGAGGUAGGCGGAAUGUGACAAGUAGCGGUGAAAUGCAUAGAUAUGUCACAGAACACCAAUUGCGAAGGCAGCUUACUAAAGUUUAAUUGACGCUGAGGCACGAAAGCGUGGGGAUCAAACAGG
rnacentral:rRNA from 1 species